UACGAAGGGGGCUAGCGUUGCUCGGAAUCACUGGGCGUAAAGGGUGCGUAGGCGGGUCUUUAAGUCAGGGGUGAAAUCCUGGAGCUCAACUCCAGAACUGCCUUUGAUACUGAGGAUCUUGAGUUCGGGAGAGGUGAGUGGAACUGCGAGUGUAGAGGUGAAAUUCGUAGAUAUUCGCAAGAACACCAGUGGCGAAGGCGGCUCACUGGCCCGAUACCGACGCUGAGGCACGAAAGCGUGGGGAUCAAACAGG
rnacentral:rRNA from 1 species